CAGCAGCCGCGGUAAUACGUAUGUCGCAAGCGUUAUCCGGAUUUAUUGGGCGUAAAGCGCGUCUAGGCGGAAAAAUAAGUCUGAUGUUAAAAUGCGGGGCUCAACUCCGUAUUGCGUUGGAAACUGUUUUUCUAGAGUACUGGAGAGGUGGGCGGAACUACAAGUGUAGAGGUGAAAUUCGUAGAUAUUUGUAGGAAUGCCGAUGGAGAAGUCAGCUCACUGGACAGAUACUGACGCUGAAGCGCGAAAGCGUGGGGAGCAA
rnacentral:rRNA from 1 species